CUACGCACUCCUACGGGAGGCAGUCAGUGGGGAAUAUUGCACAAUGGGCGCAAGCCUGAUGCAGCCAUGCCGCGUGUAUGAAGAAGGCCUUCGGGUUGUAAAGUACUUUCAGCAGUGAGGAAGUGGGUAUGUUAAUAGCAUACUCAUUUGACGUUAGCUGCAGAAGAAGCACCGGCUAACUCCGUGCCAGCAGCCGCGGUAAUACGGAGGGUGCGAGCGUUAAUCGGAAUUACUGGGCGUAAAGCGCAUGCAGGUGGUUUGUUAAGUCAGAUGUGAAAGCCCGGGGCUCAACCUCGGAAUUGCAUUUGAAACUGGCAAACUAGAGUACUGUAGAGGGGGUAGAAUUUCAGGUGUAGCGGUGAAAUGCGUAGAGAUCUGAAGGAAUACCGGUGGCGAAGGCGGCCCCCUGGACAGAUACUGACACUCAGAUGCGAAAGCGUGGGGAACAAACAGGAUUAGAUACCCUGGUAG
rnacentral:rRNA from 1 species